GAACCCCCUCAGCCACAACACUCUGUCAUCAAUCUGGGCUGUAGUUCAAGGUAUAUCUGUUUGACCAAAAAAAAAAAUACCGUGUUUAGUGUUGGGAGCUCUCCCUGGGAGCUUGCUCUCUGUGUGAGGCCAUGACAGCUCCAUCCCACCUCACCCCUUAACCCUGGAGUCCUUCUGGGAAAGGCAUUUUCCAGAUGAACAGCAUUUUCAACAGCUGGAUGAGAAAUUCACCCAUGCACUCUUCAGGAUAAAUUCUGUCUUUCCAGUGGUUGUUACCCCAGCUGAGUGGACUGCAUGGAGAGAGCUGUCUGACCUGGUUGACACCACCGAAGUGCAAGGACUGGCAUUGCUGACAAUGAAAUGAAGUUUUCCAGCUCUUGACUCUAGAGAGAAUAUGGUGAAAGGAAGAUCAGGGCAGUCUGCGCUCAUCAGAAUUUUUGGGGGACUUCUGCAAGUGCAGCAUAUGAUUCAAAGCUCUGCAGCCAUCCAUCCCUACCAGCCAACAGCAAGUUCCUGCUCUUGUCAGAGUUAAAGGCAUGUUUUCCUUUGAACUUGGUUGGAACAAGAACUGGCCCAAUGUGGAGCUGUGGGAAAUAAUUGACCGCAGAAGCAUUUACUUCAUUAAUCUCUGAGUUGAUUUGAACCAAAUU